AACGAGAGAUGAAGAGCUCGCUCUUCAAAUCGAGUGGCGAACGGGUGAGUAACGCGUGAGGAACCUGCCUCAAAGAGGGGGACAACAGUUGGAAACGACUGCUAAUACCGCAUAAGCCCACAGCUCGGCAUCGAGCAGAGGGAAAAGGAGCAAUCCGCUUUGAGAUGGCCUCGCGUCCGAUUAGCUAGUUGGUGAGGUAAUGGCCCACCAAGGCGACGAUCGGUAGCCGGACUGAGAGGUUGAACGGCCACAUUGGGACUGAGACACGGCCCAGACUCCUACGGGAGGCAGCAGUGGGGAAUAUUGCACAAUGGGGGAAACCCUGAUGCAGCGACGCCGCGUGGAGGAAGAAGGUCUUCGGAUUGUAAACUCCUGUUGUUGAGGAAGAUAAUGACGGUACUCAACAAGGAAGUGACGGCUAACUACGUGCCAGCAGCCGCGGUAAAACGUAGGUCACAAGCGUUGUCCGGAAUUACUGGGUGUAAAGGGAGCGCAGGCGGGAGAACAAGUUGGAAGUGAAAUCCAUGGGCUCAACCCAUGAACUGCUUUCAAAACUGUUUUUCUUGAGUAGUGCAGAGGUAGGCGGAAUUCCCGGUGUA
rnacentral:rRNA from 1 species